rnacentral:rRNA from 1 species
UACGGAGGGUGCAAGCGUUAUCCGGAUUCACUGGGUUUAAAGGGUGCGUAGGCGGACUUAUAAGUCAGUGGUGAAAGCCCGGGGCUCAACUCCGGAAUUGCCGUUGAUACUGUAAGUCUCGAGUACAGUUGAGGUGGGCGGAAUACAUCAUGUAGAGGUGAAAUUCUUAGAUAUGAUGUAGAACACCGAUUGCGAAGGCAGCUCACUGAAGUGUAACUGACGCUGAGGCACGAAAGCGUGGGUAUCAAACAGG